rnacentral:rRNA from 1 species
GGGUUGUGAGGUUAAGCGACUAAGCGUACACGGUGGAUGCCCUGGCAGUCAGAGGCGAUGAAGGGCGUGCUAAUCUGCGAUAAGCGCCGGUAAGGUGAUAUGAACCGUUAUAACCGGCGAUACCCGAAUGGGGAAACCCAGUGUGACUCGUCACACUAUCAUUAACUGAAUCCAUAGGUUAAUGAGGCGAACCGGGGGAACUGAAACAUCUAAGUACCCCGAGGAAAAGAAAUCAACCGAGAUUCCCCCAGUAGCGGCGAGCGAACGGGGAGGAGCCCAGAGCCUGAAUCAGCAUGUGUGUUAGUGGAAGCGUCUGGAAAGGCGCGCGAUACAGGGUGACAGCCCCGUACACAAAAGCGCAUGUGCUGUGAGCUCGAUGAGUAGGGCGGGACACGUGGUAUCCUGUCUGAAUAUGGGGGGACCAUCCUCCAAGGCUAAAUACUCCUGACUGACCGAUAGUGAACCAGUACCGUGAGGGAAAGGCGAAAAGAACCCCGGCGAGGGGAGUGAAAAAGAACCUGAAACCGUGUACGUACAAGCAGUGGGAGCACAGGUUUACCUGUGUGACUGCGUACCUUUUGUAUAAUGGGUCAGCGACUUAUAUUCUGUAGCAAGGUUAACCGAAUAGGGGAGCCGGAGGGA